rfam:Gossypium raimondii chromosome 6, whole genome shotgun sequence.
GGGUGCGAUCGUAACAGCAUUACUGCACCAGAUCUCAUCAGAACUCCACUGUUAAGCGUCCAUGGGCGACAGUAGUACUAGGAUGGGUGACCUCCUGGGAAGUCCUCGUGUUGCAACCC